rnacentral:snRNA from 1 species
AGUUUUGCGCAGUGGCAGUAUCGUAGCCAAUGAGGUUUAUCCGAGGUGCGAUUAUUGCUAAUCUAUAUUUUAAAGGAAUGAAUUUAUUUUUAUUUUACCCAUACCAAAAA